UUGGAGGGCAAGUCUGGUGCCAGCAGCCGCGGUAACUCCAGCUCCAAUAGCGUAUAUUAAAGUUGUUGCAGUUAAAAAGCUCGUAGUUGAACUUCGGGGUCUACCCAUUGGUCAGGCUUAAUUGUCUGUACUGGUGAGAUGGAUCUCUACCUUCUGAGGAACUUUCAUGCCAUUUAUUUGGUGUGAUGGGAAAUCAGGACUGUUACUUUGAAAAAAUUAGAGUGUUUAAAGCAGACUAUCGUCUGAGUACAUUAGCAUGGAAUAAUGAAAUAGGACGGACUGAUUCUAUUUCGUUGGUUUCUAGGAUCACCGUAAUGAUUAAUAGGGAUAGUUGGGGGCAUUAGUAUUCAAUUGUCAGAGGUGAAAUUCUUGGAUUUAUUGAAGACUAACUACUGCGAAAGCAUUUGCCAAGGAUGUUUUCAUUAAUCAAGAACGAAAGUUAGGGGAUCGAAGACGAUCAGAUACCGUCGUAGUCUUAACCAUAAACUAUGCCGACUAGGGAUCGGACGAAGUUAAUUUUAUAAUGACGCGUUCGGCGCCUUACGGGAAAC
rnacentral:rRNA from 1 species